UGAGAGGACCAUCUCUGAGUGAGCUGGGAUGGAUUCUGAGUAAUAAGUAGACACUAAUCUGAGAGAGAAAGUGGGUUGAGGGCACAGGAGUGGAGGGGUAAGUGUGGGCAGAGAUUUGGUGUACAACAGGACACAGAGCCUCACAUAUUAGGAGCUGGGUGGCUUGCAUGACUAGGAAGAACUGAGGAGAGACAGGAAGAAGAUGGUGAAGUAUCUGUGUGCCAAGUAACAUGGCUAGUCUCCAUCCUAGAGAAAGCUGGAAGCUGACAGAAACUUAAAUGUAGGGGAAUGGCAACAUUAGCCUUGUCUGACGGCAUCCAGCACAAGAGCCAAGGAUCCAAGCAGUGGUGGAAAAACACAUUAAAAACAAAACAAAACAAGACAUGGCAAAGGAUUUUAGAAGAGGAUUUGGAUCUGCAGGGUCUCCUUGGGAAGAUACCAAGCUUGCUGGAUAGAAGCUAACAUGCCUACUUAUUCAAGCUAAGUGGAAUAUAAUGUACAGUAGCCUACAAAAAUAUAUCAGAUCCUAUGUAUCUUACACAGACAAAGAAAGCCCCUAGCAGUUUUAACUCCUUUCUGGACACAGGAUGAAGGAGAUUUUACUAGGGAGUUCCUGCAUUUCUGAGAAAAGCUAACCAGGGAUGAUGGUCAGCUCUGAGCCGAGAAUCAGGAAUGCAGACUGUGUCGCUGGUUUCUCGGGGUAUCACUAUCAAGUGUAUCUCAGAAGAGGCUACGGGGUUUCUCGGCAUUUUCCGGCAUGGGGUGACGGUAGAGGUUAUAGACAGCCAUCAGCUAUUGUUCCAUCGUGGUAUGGGCUCAGAACACAGGACAGAGUGUUCUCAUGAAGGCAUCACAAGAUCUGACCACACGAGUCUAUUUCUGCUUUUGGGAACAAUCAGCAGCAGUUAGGUCUACUUUAGGCAACUCCCCAAGUUCCAGCACCUCGUGUUCCUCACCAGAGCCACCCCACCCAUUUCUAACAGGUCCUAAUAAUGGUCUAUAUAGCUUGAAAACAUCUAAUGAAGACAUCUCAUGACAGCAUAGACUUCUUAUGAUGAUUAAUCUCUAUUGUCAACUUGAUAAGGACUAGAAUCACCUCUGGAAAUGGUGUCAAGCAUUAUCUAGGUUAAGUUAAUUGAAGUAGGAAGUGGGACCAUUCCUUUGGUUGGGCACCAAGAAAAUGGAAAAAGAA